AUUAGAUACCCUGGUAGUCCACGCCCUAAACGAUGUCAACUAGCUGUUGGGGCCUUCCUGGCCUUGUAGCGCAGCUAACGCGUGAAGUUGACCGCCUGGGGAGUACGGUCGCAAGAUUAAACUCAAAGGAAUUGACGGGGACUCCGCACAAGCGGUGGAUGAUGUGGAUUAAUUCUACGCACCGCGAAAACCCUUACCUACCCUUGACAUGUCUGGAAUCCCGAAGAGAUUUGGAGUACUGCAAGAGAACCGGAACACAGGUGCUGCAUGGCUGUCGUCAGCUCGUGUCGUGAGAUGCGUUUAAGUCCUGCAACGAGCGCAACCCUUGUCAUUAUUGCUACGAAAGGGCACUCUAAUGAGACUGCCGGUGACAAACCGGAGGAAGGUGGGGAUGACGUCAAGUCCUCAUGGCCCUUAUGGGUAGGGCUUCACACGUCAUACAAUGGUCGGGACAGAGGGUCGCCAACCCGCGAGGGGGAGCCAAUCCCAGAAACCCGAUCGUAGUCCGGAUCGCAGUCUGCAACUCGACUGCGUGAAGUCGGAAUCGCUAGUAAUCGCGGAUCAGCAUGUCGCGGUGAAUACGUUCCCGGGUCUUGUACACACCGCCCGUCACACCAUGGGAGUGGGUUUUACCAGAAGUAGUUAGCCUAACCGUAAGGAGGGCGAUUACCACGGUAGGAUUCAUGACUGGGGUGGAAGUCGCAUUAAGGUAA
rnacentral:misc_RNA from 1 species